GGGGAAUAUUGCACAAUGGGGGAAACCCUGAUGCAGCAACGCCGCGUGAGUGAAGAAGUAUUUCGGUAUGUAAAGCUCUAUCAGCAGGGAAGAAAAUGACGGUACCUGACUAAGAAGCCCCGGCUAACUACGUGCCAGCAGCCGCGGUAAUACGUAGGGGGCAAGCGUUAUCCGGAUUUACUGGGUGUAAAGGGAGCGUAGACGGCGCUGCAAGUCUGAAGUGAAAGCCCGGGGCUCAACCCCGGGACUGCUUUGGAAACUGUAAUGCUAGAGUGCUGGAGAGGUAAGUGGAAUUCCUAGUGUAGCGGUGAAAUGCGUAGAUAUUAGGAGGAACACCAGUGGCGAAGGCGGCUUACUGGACAGUAACUGACGUUGAGGCUCGAAAGCGUGGGGAGCAAACAGGAUUAGAUACCCUGGUAGUCCACGCGGUAAACGAUGAAUACUAGGUGUUGGGGAGCAAAGCUCUUCGGUGCCGUCGCAAACGCAAUAAGCAUUCCACCUGGGGAGUACGUUCGCAAGAAUGAAACUCAAAGGAAUUGACGGGGACCCGCACAAGCGGUGGAGCAUGUGGUUUAAUUCGAAGCAACGCGAAGAACCUUACCAAGUCUUGACAUCCUUCUGACCGGCGCGUAACGGCGCCUUCUCUUCGGAGCAGGAGUGACAGGUGGUGCAUGGUUGUCGUCAGCUCGUGUCGUGAGAUGUUGGGUUAAGUCCCGCAACGAGCGCAACCCUUAUCCUUAGUAGCCAGCAGUAAGAUGGGCACUCUAGGGAGACUGCCAGGGAUAACCUGGAGGAAGGUGGGGAUGACGUCAAAUCAUCAUGCCCCUUAUGAUUUGGGCUACACACGUGCUACAAUGGCGUAAACAAAGGGAAGCGAAGCCGCGAGGUGAAGCAAAUCCCAAAAAUAACGUCCCAGUUCGGAUUGUAGGCUGCAACUCGCCUGCAUGAAGCUGGAAUCGCUAGUAAUCGCGAAUCAGAAUGUCGCGGUGAAUACGUUCCCG
rnacentral:rRNA from 1 species